rnacentral:tRNA from 1 species
CCUGCUGUAGCUCAGUUGGUAGAGCACCGGAUUGUGGAUCCGGAGGUCUUGGGUUCGAGCCCCAACGGCAGGAC